rnacentral:snRNA from 2 species
AUACCUUUCUCGGCCUUUUGGCUAAGAUCAAGUGUAGUAUCUGUUCUUAUCAGUUUAAUAUCUGAUACGUGGACCAAUGGUCCACACGAUAUUAAAUUAAUUUCUUUAGGGGGAGGGUCCACCACAGUAGCUUGCUAUUGGGACUCUUGCGCGUCGCUCAAGCGUUGCACUACUGCAUGAGCCUGGCGCACCCCAC